AACGUUAAGACCCUCAGACAGCGGUGGGUUCUCUCCAACAGCACCGUCUGCAGUGUUGCAUCCAGUCUCAGACAGGAGCACAGAGUCUCUCCAGACUCUGGAA